AGUUUCUUCAAAGAUUAACUGACUUCUUUAGAAGUAACUCAGUUCCUCUUAGGCAGGUAUUUGCUCACCACGUAACUGGGUGUCGAGUGCUCUGUAGUUAUAAAGUUUGCUGGGCUCAGCUGUGGAUUUCCUUAACACUCUCUGCUGACAUCACUCAGUCUCCUCUCAGACUCUUUUAUUUUUUUUCCCCUCUCUUUCUCCCUCCCUCCCUCUCCUCCCUCCCUCUCUCCAGUUUCUUUAUUCAGGUAAUUCCAACUCAGGCUUAUUGCAACUUGUUUUUUGACUGACAGCGAGGGAAGGGAGACUCUCUGAGGAGUUUGAUUUCUGUUGGUUUUUUGGGCUUUUUUUUUUUUUUUUUUUAAACCUGCACACGUGCUUUAUUGAAAAACCAUCCAACCUCUUAUAAAAAAGGACUGUUUGACUUGACAUGACGAUAACAUCUAGUAAGGAACCUGAACACUGCUCUUUUACAGCACUCCACAGUUGCAGCUCAGAGUCCCAAGCAAAGCACAUGGACCCCGUGCACCUCAGGAACAGAGAGUUCUCAUGGACAACACUGGGAUUCUUUCCUGUUCCUGCUCUGAAAUAACAGGACUGAAGCG
rnacentral:lncRNA from 1 species